UAGGGAAUUGAACCCAGGUCCUCUGCAACGAGUGCUGUUAGCCACUAGCCAUCUCUCCAGCCUUAGAAUCCAUACUAUCAGAUCUAUGCGGAACCCUCUUUGCUUGGCAAUCGAUUAACACACCUGUUUCUUGUGGACCGCCCAGGCAGCCCAGAGCUUAAAGAAGUGAGUAUGUGUGGUCGGCAGAGCGGGAACUUCCGGCACUGUUUAAACACCAAGGCUAUUUGAUAACGGUGAAAAAGGACCAGCUGCUGUAUGUCGACUGCUUAGGUUAGUCAAGGGAAAUAAGUCAACUAAAUGAAUUGCCAAUAUGCAGAAUAUUUUACACAAUUCGAGAAGGAGCUGGUGUCACCCAAUUCAGACUAAAUUUCAUUUCCCGAUAACUAUUUAAACAGUCUGGAUGUUAUUUAGUUUGGACAGGCGAAGGUGGGGGCGGGGGGCAUCAAAUUUACUAAAGGUCUAAAACUGGUUUUUAACAAAGAGGGGGAGAGAAAGCGAGAGCAUGGCGGACAGCCUCCGCUCACAUGGUUCAAUAGCAGCUCCCGGUGCAUGGUACUGGGAUACCAUGGAUACCGGGAGAGGGGUUGCGUGGUGAGCAUCCAAAGGGAAUGCAUGGUGCACCCGGAGGAGGGGUGCGCGGUAAGCACGGGAGGAGCCAGCACCAGUACCCGGUUUAGUUUUCAUGAUCCCCAUGAGAGGAUCCACUUUGGGAUUGGGUCCGGGGGCUCAGGAGGGUCAGGCUUGGAAAGGCCCCACAGAACCCUGUCCCGCUUCACUACGCCCCGGAGCCUACCUGGCGACCACCAAAUCCGGCUCGCAUUCCAGGACGCCUGCGCGGCCGGAAGCGGUCGGAGACGAGCGUGAGGCUGCCUCCUGGUGGCCGCCUCUUGCCUUACAGUGGACGCCCGCGCCAGCGUAGGCGCGGUCAUCCAUACCCUGGUCCUCAUUUCCUCUAGCCAAACUGGUGAAGGCCAGGCUGCAACAGCAAGGUUGAGCCUGGGACUGGGGACCUCAGAGGGGCUGCUUCCUGAUCUACAGCUCUACACUCUCUGCAAAGCGGUGGCUGCCAAAGAGUGAUCCUCAGAAAAGCAACACGAGCAAAUCGCAGAGUGAGGCUCAGUGCACUGAUAAUGCCUCUGGCUUUGAAAACUAUGUGACUUUGGAGCUUUGGCCUGAGACGCCAAGCUGCGCGUCACAGAUUUCAGGGCCAAACCUCAAGUCAUGCGAAGGCUGGAAGGUCUCAGCGUGCUACACUAGUAUUAGUACUGGAAGUGAAAUGGGAGGGGUAAGGUUGGGAAAUGGAAAAUCAGACAUAUCAUCUACUUCUAAACUGAUUUAUUUUCCAGAUUUGAAAUCAAAACAUACAGUGUGUGGGUAAAAACAAAAACCAUCUAUGUUUAUUAUCCAAACUCUAAGCAUGCUAAAGAACCCAGAAUCUUGAUCUAGGAAGCACUAGAGGAACCGACAAAACUCCCUUCAAAGAAUCCCUCCACCUGCACCACAGUAGCAUAUGUGACUGCCAACCAAAAACUGCAGGACCAGAACACAGUAAAGCCUUCCUUUCUACCCAGUGGAAAUGGACUCUGAGGAAGCCCAAACCAGCUCGCCCUGCCUCCCUCCCCAGGCCCAACCUGCUUCAUUGCUAUAGCACGAUUGUGGACGUAGGCAGAUUCUUGUCUGUGUGUGUUUUUAAAAUUAUUAUUUUUUUCUUAUUCUUAGGGAAUGAAUUAAGGUCAAAUCCUCCCCCAUUUCCCUUCUACACUCUCUUCCCAACAUGUCCCCUUCCCACCUCCAUGUCUCCCCGCCCUCCCCUUGGUGCUGCUCCUACUGGGGCUGCCCCUAUAUGGAACCUUCAGGGCCAGCAGGAUUCUGUAGAGAUUCUGUGUGAGUCCUCAGCUGCUUCACAGCAGUCCUGCCUUUGUUUUUCCGCACACAAGUCCCUUGUUCUAGUAUCAGAAACAGCCAGCGGGUAUGAGUGUGCACAUGCACGUACAGGUGUGUACACACCUAGAGAGGCCAUCUGAGCAUAGGAAACCUACCAAUGGCUUCACCUUCAGAAAGGAUUCUCGAUCCAGUGAUCGAGUGGCAGUCUUUUCUUGGUAAGGGGUUAGGGGAGAAAGCACUUCCCCAGGCUAUGCUGGAGUUUCAGCUGGCUCAAUGCUUUGCAGGUAAUCACAGUGGCUCUGAGUUUCUGAGCACAACAGCUGUGGCCCACCCCGUUCACAGCCAGCAUCCCACCGGCACUCGCUCCUCCUCGCCCUGUCCUCUGGCUCUUACAUCCAUCCUGCCUCCUCCUCCUGAGUCAGAUGCCUCACGUCGGGUUGAGCACCCAAUCCCUACUUCUCGGCGCUGUGCAUUUCUGUAGAUUGCUGCGCAGGUUCUUGACUGUCAAACUGGAAUCUGGGUCUCUGGCCAGAGAACUGACAUGGGCUCUCCGUGAAAACGAAAUGUUCUGUGUGUAGGGUGUGCUGGGACUUGCCUUUAAUCUCAGCACUCGGAGGCCGAUUGACCUGGACAUCACACACCUGAUUCCAACCACACAGGACACUUCGAGAACUAUGCUAAUGACGAGGGUUCUGCUCAUGACCAAAAUAAUGCUGAAGGACAUGCAAACUCUUGAAACAAACCUUAAAGUACAAAGUAUCUCAAAGGGGCGGAAAUGGCUGAGCUGUUGUGGGCACACACUGUUCUUAUGGUGGAUCUGAGGGACAAACACAGAAGUGAUGGCAGAGCAGAGGGUGCGGAGCAGCCUGAGGACAGACUAACAGAAGCAUCUCUGAAGGCAGGGUCUGGCUACCCAGUAGCCUCUGGAGCAUGGGAAUUAUAGCACAUAUCGCCAUGCCUGCUUGUUUUGGUCAAGGCAGAAUCUCACUUGGUCGCCCAGACCGCCACUGAACUUGUAAACCUCUGCGUGCAGGGAUCCUAGCUAUGUGCUACCAUGCUGGGCCCUAGAAACAAAGGUAAGUCGCUGACAGCAAUUUCUGAGGAUAAAUGUUCUUAGACUGGCGGGUUUUGUUUUUUUGAGACAAAGUCUUCCUAUGUGGCCUAGAGGACCCGGACUCUGAAAUGUAGACCAGGCUGGUCAUAAACUCACAAAGAUACACUUGACUCUGCCUCCUUGGAGGCGUACACCACUACAGUUGACUACUAGGCUGUGUUUUGUUGUUUCUACUUCAAUGCUGCUAAAAAAAAAAAUAAAAUAAAAAUGCUAUUUUCAAAUAUAGAACUAGAGAUUUGGGAGAUCUACAAGUGACAAACACUGACAUAAGAUGUAAAAACAAAAAUAAAAUGUUAAAAGUGACUUAAA